UUGCGUAUCAGGCUCACAUUCGUGAAGUUUCAUUUAGAUUCAUUUCGGUUUCCAAGAAUAUGUUAAAGUUCAUUUACGUUUUCAAGAAUAUUGUCCAUUUACCUAGAUUUCAGAUAUCAUUCAUUCUCUUACAACUUUAAAAACUGUCUUUAUAUUUAUGGCAUUAGUUCAGAAAAUAAUUGAAGACAGGCGCUCAAAACUUGUACAAAUACAUUCAUAGCGGCACCAUUCACAGCAGCUAAAAGGUGGAAAUAAGCCAAGCAUUUAUGGCUGAUGAGUGAAUAGAAAGAACGUGGCACUGGAAUACAGAUAUAAUGGAAUAUUAUCCAGUCAUAAAUUACAUGAAGUACGGCAGUAAAAUAUCAUUACACGAAGUACUAAAACACACGGUGAUGUGGAGGGACCCUGAAAACGAAGCUGAGCGGAGGAAGCCGAUCCCAAAGGCCGCGUGCUGUUCAGCUCCCUCUGCAUUUACUGCUCCAAACCGGCAAGUUCUCGGGCACAGAGGACGGGACAAGUGGUUGCCAGGCCGAGGGGCAGGAUUCGUGGGAGUGACUGCUUGAUGGAUGAGUUUUCCUUUCAGGCUGAGGGUUGCAGGACAGUGUGAACGUCGUGAGUCACCACGGAGCUGCUCACUCUCGAGUGGUUCAAAGAUAAAUCUUAGGGCAUGUGUGUUUAUCAACUCCCGGCCCCCGGAGUGUCUCGGGUACGAUGGGAACAAGCCCAGGAGGAAGGUGGCCUGGCUGCUGGGCCAGAGGACAUGGAGUGAUGCUGGCAGUGUACCACGGUGACCUCAGAAAUCUAGGGGUGCGGAGCAGGCAGGUGGGGAGCAGCAUGUUUCUACAGCUGAUGUUGACAUGCUGGGAGAAGAAGCUGCUGCCAGCUGCAGGCCGCCCGAGUUAGAGAGAGCACGUUCGUGUGCGUGCGUGCCUGCGUGCGCGCAUUCCUGUGGCUAAAAUGGGCUGGGACUUACCCUCCUUGGCCACGCCCAGGCUGAAGACAACCUCUCCUCUGCCCUGGCAGGAAGCGUCCGGAGCGCCGCCAGGACAUCUGCUUCAUCUUCCUUGGCAACAAAAGGCGCCCUGAGAGGGACUCUAGGCUGGGGACUGGGAGCAACCCUAACCCUCCUCCUUUUCUCCUGCAGGAGUGGACAGGAGCUCCAGCCUGGAGUCUCAGAGAGCGCCCCAUGCAGGAAGGCAGGUUUCACACCCAGGGAGGCCCAAGGACCCCUGAGCACCUGGGCCGGGAGCAGAGUCCCUUGCGUGGGGCAGCUCCUCCGCUGGGACCUGUUUGGCUUCGGACCCCGGUGAGCUGUCCAGGAGAAAGACGGGGCCUUUGGCUCAGACAGGCCAUAGCUGUCCAGUUCUGAGUGAGCAGAGAGAAGAGACUGGCCAGGCAGCAAAGCCAGACUUUGGUUGGACUGCACUGAGGCCAGGGCACCCAGGAGAUUUCUAGGGCCUGGCUGGCCUGCCCAGAAAGGCCCGAUGGGUGAGACUGCUGUCUCCCAGUGCAGAGCCACUCCCAAACCCAGGGCCCCAGCCCCUGCAGACAUCUCUGAAGAAGCCCUCUCGAGCAUCCUGAGGCUCUGGAGGAUCCCUUCCAGAGAGAAACUCAGCUGGCUUCUCACCCUAGAGAAGAAAGAGGGAGCUUGAAAAGAAGAACUCAAAAAGCACAGUGAUCGAACCAAAGAAAGAAAUCUCAAAUGAUAGAAAUUCAGACCUUGAAGACCAGUCACGGGGAGGAAGGAGGCCUUCCUGGCACGCAGAGCGGGUGCCACGUUCCUGACUUCCUGUGUCUGACCUCCCCUGCUGGGGCCAUCUCUCCUGACGGAGGCUGGGCCUGGCUCCAAGCGCUGAGCUUAGGAGGCAGCCUGCUCCCCUCCAGGCCCUCUGACCGCAGAGCAGCCGAGGAAGGAUAACAAGUUCUGAAAAGAACAACAAAGGCUUGUGGGCUGGGAAACAGGAAGUGGGGCUUCUGCACUUGCAGUCUUCCAGUCCCACCACAAUCUCAGGGCACGCUCUCCAUUGCUAAGUACAGAGAAAUCACAGCCAGCCGGCUUCUGGUUUGCUUCCUUGUUUUGGUUAAAAUCAGUGGAAUUUCUUUUCCUCAAGCAAAAAAUCUUACCCAGAGCUCUAAAAAACAUGACAUGAAAUCAGUAAGAAGGCUUCCCCAGUGAAGUAUUUUCUUGGCCCAAGUGAGAGGACACCACGCCUCCCUGUGGAAUUGGACAACUGGGUUAACUGGGUAACUAUGCUCUUUGUAGAAUGCACCUGAGUAACCUUGACAGCUUCUGGAAUCUGUCACGAAAGGAGCAGAACAGACUCACAAAGUCCUGCCAGAGCUCUUGGCCCACCCCCUCCCCGUGCUUUGUGUAAAUCCUGCUUGCCAUAUUCCCAGGGAAACUCCAAUGAAAAUAAGCCUCGUAGAUGUAAAAGAGGUACAGAAAGAAGAGCGAACUUCUCUUCAGGCUCUCGAGACUGACAGGAGCCACUGGCUGAGCCACCGGCCAUAAAGCCAGUUUGCUCCUUCUUUGUGUGUCAGAGUGCUCUGUCCAGGUGUCCCCACAGUUUCCUGCUUCAGACGAACGCUAAUGGUCAUGGAAUCUCUAAGUUCCUACAGCUCCGUUUUGAUCCUCUGUCCUCAAAGUCAGCUUCUUCUGCACCUGGGAAAACCAACGGCAGAGACUGUUGGCCUGCUGAAACUCUCAGGACAGCAAAGGUGGCACCAGGUUCCCCAGAAAUCCUUCCAGGGCUCUAAAACCAGCAUAAGCCCUUCCUUAGUCCAAAAUGGUAACUUUGAACAGAAGCAGAGCUGCUGAGGCUCUGGCAGUUAGAGGUCCAGCAUCGAAGUCCUUGCCGACUAGACAUCCGGUAAGGACACAGACAGUGUCGUCUCGCUGUCUUCCUGCAUGGAAAGGCAAGAUAGGUCUCCGGACCUUUUUUUAAGAGCACCUGGUCACUGCGUAAUGACCCCAGCGCUAACACUGUUACAGAGCCGAUUGCAUUUGGGCGUGAGUUCUGGGGUUCUUCUGGGGGACCGGCUCUGCCUGGCAGCCCAGCCUUUCUGCAGGGCACAGCCACACCUGCCCAGCCUGCAUGGGCACGCUGCCGUCAGCUCCACACACAGGUGGAAAAUGAGGUCCAACCCUGCCAGAGCAGCCUCCUGGAUGGGCGUGGCAGUCUCCCCAGCCCAUCGCUCCAGGUGCAAGGGUGCCCCCUGUGUGGGGAGGGUGCGCUGGGCUGUCUCUGACCCAAGGAGGUGCUGAGGUCGGAAUGCUCGUGGCCCUCAGUGUCGAACCCCGCCCAUGAUGAGGCGUCCGGAGGGAGGGCGGAAGGGGUUGGGAGGGCUUGGGAGGUCGGAGUCCUGCCUGGGGUCCUGGCCUUCCAGAAGAGCCCUUCCACUGCGCGGGCACACAGGAAGACGCUGCCGCCAGCAGCCGGCGAGCGGCCCCACCACACGAGGAAUCUGCAGGCCCUUGGUCUUGGGCCUCCUGCCUCUGGAACUCAGAUCAUUUCUGUUGUUGUUAGGCCUCUCGGCGUGUGGCGUUUCGUUUUAUAGCCUGACAGGAUGAGGACAGGAGGCCUCACUUCCAACCAUCCCUGGUGAGCGUGGCCUUCUCAUCCAGACCCUGCCGGGGACCAGCCUCCGCUGCCAAGGGCCACAGCCUUGCAGGAUGCAGAGUAGCGACCUGGGCCUCAGCCCGGGGGACCCCCUUUCCGCUGGGCCGGCACGGCCUUCCUAGCCUACAGCCCACACUGGCCUCAGAGUGCUCCAAACACAGCCGCUCACUUGGGCCUCCUGCCCCAGGGCCUUUUCUCUGCCUCCCAAACCCACAGACUCACCUAGCUCUGUGGCCAAAGCACUCUCCCGAGCAGCUCACCCAGCCUCAGCCCCCGGGGCCUCAGUCACCUGCACACCCACAGCAGACCUCACUCGGGGGCACAGGGCCCUGCUUUCCCAGAAGCCUGGCUCAAGCAUCAGACACCGUCUGACCAGUGCUCCGCUGCCGCAGCACAGCUGUCUUCAUGGUCAGAUGCCCGGGUGUAGAGGGGAGGAAGCGGGAUUCCAGCACUUGGAGCCAGCCAUCAGCAGAGGUGUGACACAUCCUAGGGGAGUUGGUCAGGGAGCGUGUCGGGUCUCCUCAUGGUUAGGGCUGUGUGCAGCCCUCCAUGCCUACCUGGGAGGUGGCCACUGUAGGACUGAGCUCCCCCCAAGGCCCCUGACCCCACCUCACCCCCCAGCCAUGUAGCUCUGGAGGCCCCCGGGGCACAGGGCCAGCACAGCCUGCCCUGUCCACACCUGGGCCGGGCCAGGAAGGAGGGGCGCUGAAGGGUCAAGGCCCACAGCUGCUUUGUGCUGUGCGUGAGGAAGCAUCUUCUAGACCCACAUGGCCCCUCUCCGGACUCGUGCACUUGAAAAGGCGGCCACGCCGGGAUUGGAGCCCCCAGAGAGUCCAAGGGUAGCGGAGGCCUGCAGGGAGCUGUGGUGAUCUUCAGGUGGCCGUGGACUCCUGGCAGCUGAGAGUUCAGCUCUGGCAAAGGCUUGCUUAUUCAUCCACUCAGCCACAGCCAGCCAGUGCCAGGCAUUAUACUGGCUGCUGGGACACAGCAGUGGGAUUUAGCCGGGUGAGGCGGCGCACACCUGCCAUCCCAGCUACUCAGGAGGCUGCAGUCAGAGGCCAGCGUGGGCGACUUAGCAAGACCCCAUCUCAAAGUAAAAACUUAACCAAAGAGCUGGGGCUGUAGCUCAGUGCUCCCUGGGUUCAAUCCCCAGCACCACAAGAACAAGGCAGAACUUACAAACUUCCCUGGCUUCUGCUGCAGGGGGAGGAGAACAAGAUGAAGCGGUGACGCGCUCCGCGGUGGUGAUCAGGGGCAGAUGGAGCAUGGAGAGGAGUGUUUGAGGUGCACUCUGACGCGGUGGGAGGAGGCCUCCCUGGUGCCAGACCGGUGACCGGCCCUGAAGAGUGUCAGGGAAGCCCCGGGGCUGGAGCACCCCGGUGAGCCAGAGGGACGGCGGGGGAGGCAGGAUGGCGGCAGCCAUGCCGUGACCUGGGAGUGUCUCAGGAGAUGCUGUCGGGGUCGAGUGGUGGCCCCAAGAGCCUGUGCUGGAGUCCUAUCUGAGGAGCCUACCAGUGUGUGAAAUCUUGCGAGUGCAGUCACCCCAGGGAGCCUCGAGAUGCGCUCAGCCGAUCAUCCAACACAAGGGCUUUUGCAGUGACAUGCAGAGGACAGACGUGGGGAAAGAGGGGAGACCAGGAAAGCCAGAGGCAAAGACUGCAG
rnacentral:lncRNA from 1 species